GUGAGAGAAAGAAUGUUAAUCUUCCAGGGGUCGUUGUGGAUCUCCCAACCUCAACAGAAAAAGACAAAGAAGAUAUUAUCAAUUGGGGGAUUCCAAACAAGAUUGACAUGAUUGCUCUGUCUUUUGUUCGAAAAGGUUCAGACCUAGUGGAGGUAUGCAAGCUCCUUUGGAAAGCAUGAUAAGAACAUCCUUCUCAUGUUAAAGGGUAUUCCUACUAAGGAGAUAGUUGAAGACAAGAAUUUGGAGUUUGCUACUAAGUGGGAUAGAAGAACAAAUCUUGUUUACACAGGACAUGAUAUUGAUGAAGUUCGAGCUGAACGGGCGAAGCAUGUUUUGAAGUUUCCACAAAUGUAGUGCACACAAAGAGGGUCUAUGGUAUAUGCAUAGUUAGGGUCAACUGUGAUUUUGUGCAUAUUGACAUUGCAUGCAUAGCUAGAUUAUGGAGGGUUUUUUAGCCUAGCUAAGAUGAUCGACUUUUGCCUUUAUCGAUCAUUAUUUUAACCUCCUAACAGCUUAUCAACUUUAGGAUGAAUUGAUGGAAAUGUUGAAUGUUGAUGUAGUUACUGGUUGAUUGAAAUGAAAUGACUUUUGACUUGUUAUAGUUAGA